rnacentral:rRNA from 1 species
UACGUAGGUGGCAAGCGUUGUCCGGAUUUAUUGGGCGUAAAGGGAGCGCAGGCGGUGACUUAAGUCUGAUGUGAAAGCCCACGGCUCAACCGUGGAAGGUCAUUGGAAACUGGGUCACUUGAAUAUAGAAGAGGAAAGUGGAAUUCCAUGUGUAGCGGCGAAAUGCGUAGAUAUAUGGAGGAACACCAGUGGCGAAGGCGACUUUCUGGUCUAUUAUUGACGCUGAGGCUCGAAAGCAUGGGUAGCAAACAGGAUUAGA